UACGGGGGGAGCAAGCGUUGUUCGGAUUUACUGGGCGUAAAGGGCGCGUAGGCGGCCACUGCAAGUCGGUUGUGAAAUCUCCGGGCUUAACCCGGAAAGGUCAAUCGAUACUGCAGGGCUAGAGUGCAGAAGGGGCAAUCGGAAUUCUUGGUGUAGCGGUGAAAUGCGUAGAUAUCAAGAGGAACACCUGAGGUGAAGACGGGUUGCUGGGCUGACACUGACGCUGAGGCGCGAAAGCCAGGGGAGCAAACGGG
rnacentral:rRNA from 1 species